GUUUGAUCAUGGCUCAGAUUGAACGGCCGCGGCAGGCCAAGUCGAUGGAAGUCGAGCGGAUGACGGGAGCUUGNNCCUUGAUUCAGCGGCGGACGGGUGAGUAAUGCCCCUGGUUCUGCCUGGUAGUGGGGGACAACGUUUCGAAAGGAACGCUAAUACCGCAUAGAGCCUACGGGAGAAAGCAGGGGACCUUCGGGCCUUGCGCUAUCAGAUGAGCCUAGGUCGGAUUAGCUAGUUGGUGAGGUAAUGGCUCACCAAGGCGACGAUCCGUAACUGGUCUGAGAGGAUGAUCAGUCACACUGGAACUGAGACACGGUCCAGACUCCUUUGGGAGGCAGCAGUGGGGAAUGGGCGACAAUGGGCGAAAGCCUGAUCCAGCCAUGCCGCGUGUGUGAAGAAGGUCUUCGGAUUGUAAAGCACUUUAAGUUGGGAGGAAGGGCAGUAAGUUAAUACCUUGCUGGGUUGACGUUACCGACAGAAUAAGCACCGGCUAACUCUGUGCCAGCAGCCGCGGUAAUACAGAGGGUGCAAGCGUUAAUCGGAAUUACUGGGCGUAAAGCGCGCGUAGGUGGUUCGUUAAGUUGGAUGUGAAAGCCCCGGGCUCAACCCGGGAACUGCAUCCAAAACUGGCGAGCUAGAGUACGGUAGAGGGUGGUGGAAUUUCCUGUGUAGCGGUGAAAUG
rnacentral:rRNA from 1 species